UACGUAGGGUGCGAGCGUUAAUCGGAAUUACUGGGCGUAAAGCGUGCGCAGGCGGUUCGUUAUGUCCGUUGUGAAAGCCCCGGGCUCAACCUGGGAAUGGCAAUAGAAACUGGCGGGCUAGAGUGUGGCAGAGGGGGGUGGAAUUCCGCGUGUAGCAGUGAAAUGCGUAGAGAUGCGGAGGAACACCGAUGGCGAAGGCAGCCCCCUGGGCUAGCACUGACGCUCAGGCACGAAAGCGUGGGGAGCAAACAGG
rnacentral:rRNA from 1 species